AUUGAACGCUGGCGGCAGGCCUAACACAUGCAAGUCGAGCGAGAGGCGGACGGGUGCGUAAUGUCUGGGAAACGGCCUGAUGGAGGGUGAUAACUACUGGAAACGGUAGCUAAUACCGCAUAACAUCAGAUGUGCCCAGAUGGGAUUAGCUAGUCGGUGGGGUAAUGGCUGACCUAGGCGACGAUCCCUAGAUGGUCUAAGGGGAUGACCAGCCACACUGGAACUGAGACACGGUACAGACUCCUACGGGAGGCAGCAGUGGGGAAUAUUGCACAAUGGGCGCAAGCCGGAUGCAGCCAUGCCGCGUGUAUGAAGAAGGCCUUCGGGUUGUAAAGUACUUUCAGCGAGGAGGCGUUACUCGCAGAAGAAGCACCGGCUAACUCCGUGCCAGCAGCCGCGGUAAUUC
rnacentral:rRNA from 1 species